rnacentral:rRNA from 1 species
CGCGGGACGGGGCCGCCCCGCGAGGGACGGCGCCGCCCCGGGGCUCGUGAUAUCUUAUCUCGCCGCCCGUCGCGAGGCGGACGGAGGGAUGGAUGAGGUUACCUGGAAAAAUCGGGGCGAUCUAGGCGGGCGAACCUCGCCAACGAACGAUCGGACAUGGGAUAACGGAAGAGGGCGUCGGCUCGACUUCGUCGGUUCCUCGGGCCGAGGCACGUACGGUGAAUAGGGACGGUCGGGGCCGCCCGUACCGGGUCGUGAGAGGUGAAAAUUCUAGGAUCGACCCGAGACGAACUGCCGCGAAAGCAUUCGGCAAGGACGCUUUCAUUAAUCAAGAACGAAAGUCGGGGGAUCGAAGACGAUCAGAUACCGUCGUAGUCCCGACCGUAAACGAUGCCGACCGAGGGGCCCGGAGGGAGUUACGUACGACCCUCCGGGCCCUCCCGCGAGAAAUACAGGAGUAUUCGGUUCCGGGG